rnacentral:misc_RNA from 1 species
AAAUCGCGAUAUGUCUUGUGAUCUGCCUACAGUGAAUCAUCAAAUCUUUGAACGCAUCUUGCACCCUUUGGUAUUCCAUAGGGUACGCCUGUUUCAGUAUCAAUAUAAACCACUCCUUCCCUAUAUUUUUUUUAUAGGAAAAGGUUUGGGAAUAUUAGACAAACUGACCUUGCCUUAUAGUGUCUCGGUCAAAACUAACCAAAAAAUGGUAUGGCUUUUGGGCCAAACAAUUUUUGGGGAAGGCUUGCUCUGGUCAUGUCUUUGAUAAAAUUUUAUAUCAUUUCAUCCCAAAGCUCAAUAAGCCAACCUCUAUCAACUCUUUUGAUCUGAAAUCAGGUGGGACUACCCGCUGAACUUAA